GUUGCUUACCGCCAGUUUUCUUCAUCUCAUCGCCUCCUUCACAUUGGACGUAGGUUUUUAAAGGACUAAUACCAAGUAUUAUGGUGAAGCUACAGUUAAGUCCAGUUUCUGACCCGUUCCUUAAGAAGUGCGAAGUUCAGCUAUAAAGUUGGUCGCAUUUCACCCGUUUGGUGACAGCAAGUAAUGAGAUUCUGAAUUCUAAUGGGUCAGAGCUGUGUGUUCAAGUUUUGACUUUGGAAAGGGAGGUUACUGGAGCUCCUGGACCCGCAGAGUGAUAAAAAGGCUUUAAUCUUCCAUCAGAGACACCUGAAGCCUGCAGGAAUAUUGAUGUUGCAAUAUCUAACGGCUUUGGUUGAGAUACAUCACAGCACACACACCCCAUGUCGGACCAACUUCCAGGAACUCGGCUGUUUCCUUGCUUUCAAGCGGAGCCAUCACUCUCCAGACACAUGGUAUGAACAUCAGUUUUCAUCAAGGACUCCAUUGACAGUUUACGGCUCUAUGGUUGGUGAUGCAAGCCAUUGAAAGUGGCACAUUUUC